rnacentral:rRNA from 1 species
AGUGAACGCUGGCGGUAGGCCUAACACAUGCAAGUCGAACGGCAGCACAGUAAGAGCUUGCUCUUACGGGUGGCGAGUGGCGGACGGGUGAGGAAUACAUCGGAAUCUACUUUUUCGUGGGGGAUAACGUAGGGAAACUUACGCUAAUACCGCAUACGACCUACGGGUGAAAGCAGGGGAUCUUCGGACCUUGCGCGAUUGAAUGAGCCGAUGUCGGAUUAGCUAGUUGGCGGGGUAAAGGCCCACCAAGGCGACGAUCCGUAGCUGGUCUGAGAGGAUGAUAAGCCACACUGGAACUGAGACACGGUCAAGACUCCUACGGGAGGCACCAGUGGGGAAUAUUGGACAAUGGGCGCAAGCCUGAUCCAGCCAUACCGCGUGGGUGAAGAAGGCCUUCGGGUUGUAAAGCCCUUUUGUUGGGAAAGAAAAGCAGCAGGUUAAUACCCCGCUGUUCUGACGGUACCCAAAAAAUAAGCACCGGCUAACUUCGUG